rnacentral:ncRNA from 2 species
AUCUUAUCUAGAGAGGUGGAGGGACUGGCCCGAUGAAACCCAGCAACAGCUAGCUUGAGGCAUUAAUCAAGCUUGAAAUGUGCUAAUUCCUGCAGCCCUUGGCUGAAAGAUAAGGA